rnacentral:tRNA from 1 species
GGUAUCUUGCCCGAGUGGUCUAAGGGUGCGGACUUAAGAUCCGCUAGACAUGCCAGUUCAAACCCCACAGAUACCA